rnacentral:tRNA from 2 species
GGCCCCAUCGUCUAGUGGCUAGGACAUCAGGUUUUCAUCCUGGAAACAGGGGUUCGAUUCCCCUUGGGGCUACCA